rnacentral:lncRNA from 1 species
AGAUGACGGCAGCGGUGGGGGCCACCCGUGGAGAGGCUGUCUCUUUGUGGUACACCGUAGGUGGUCGGCACAACUGGGUCCGCUUUCUGGGUCUGGGUUUCUGGUCCCGCUUGGGAUGGCGACAGGUCCUCGGUCGGCGCGGGGCCCCCGCCGCAUCGGAUUCAAUAAAGAUUUUGUCGCGUAGCGGCUAAGGCUUCUCGCCUGGUCGGC